CCCUUAGAUGUUCUGGGCCGCACACGCGCUACACUGAAGGAGGCAGCGUGUACUCCUGGAUCGAAAGAUUUGGGUAACCCGCGAAUCUCCUUCGUGCUAGGGAUUGAGGUUUGCAAUUAUCCUUCAUGAACGAGGAAUUCCCAGUAAGUGCAAGUCAUAAGCUUGCGCUGACUACGUCCCUGCCCUUUGUACACACCGCCCGUCGCUACUACCGAUUGAAUGAUUUAGUGAGGACUUCGGACUGGGACCGAUGCGGCUUUCGGGCUGCGUCGGUAUUCUGGAAAGAUGUUCAAACUGUAUCAUUUAGAGGAAGUAAAAGUCGUAACA
rnacentral:rRNA from 1 species